GGGCGACCCUGGCAGGGAGCGGGGGAGGGGAGGAGGAAAUAAAAUAAAUAAAUGGGCCGAGUCCUUCGGGUUCUCUUACUGGCUGCACGUGCAGCUGCCCGGUUCUCUCAUUGGUCGGCUUGAGGAGCAAGUGUCACUUCCCAACGUGCUGCUUCUCCCACCACACUCUUAAAAAACAAAAACCGAAGCGAUCUACAGAGGGGUACCGCGUCAGGCUCUGCUCUCAUCUCAUCUCAUCUCAGGACGUUUCGGAACCCAGAUUCGGAAUCGCAGCAGCUCGAUCCGAAUCUGCGCGCGCCAGUCUCUUGACCCUUAAGCAAAGCAACAAAAAAGUCAUUUGCCACGUGACAUGGAGGGCUGCUGCUGUCUGAAAAACACAAGUUAUCUUAGGAAGCGCCGCCUUCUGCACGAUCUCCAGCACACGCAUGUUAAGGUCAUCUGAGGAAGUCUGUCUUCAGUUACCACCACAUCUGGUGGCGACUCAGAGGGAAGUAUCUGAUACCAUUCCAUGUGCCGAUCUGAUUUACAAGACCAGAAGGAAUGAUGAAAAGUGGGGAUAGCUCUUUUGACGUUGAUUGAAGACCAUUUCAAGGAAGUAGAAACGGAGCGGCAGUCGAGCUGAAAUGAUGGGUUGCAGCAGACCACCUGGUAGCAACGAUGAGGCAAGCUCCCAUUUCUCUGGGAGAAAGGUCAAACAAAGACUUCUUCUGACAUUUGUGUUACUGUGGCCCUUCGGCGUGUGUCACUUGUCCCCAAUCACAGGGAACUGAGGAAUGACCGUCUCUGGAAAAGAAAUGGGUGAUGCAGCAAAAAACACAUCCUUGAUGGAUUUUGGAACUGGUAACAACAUCUUAUGAAGUGACUGCAUCCAUUUCUGCAUCCCUGACUGAUGCUAGAUUCCCAGACUUUAAUCAACAAAGUAUUUAUUUGCAUUUGUUUUCUUUGAUUUUUGCUGGCAUGUCUGUGAUGAGUUGUGUCUCACAUUGUGUAACUACAUUCUAUAACAUUCUCUCUCUCUCUCUCUCUCUCUCUCUCUCACACACACACACACACACACACACACACACACACACGUCAAAGGAAUGCAUAAUCCAGUAAGAGCAGAUGCCUUGUCAGCAUUUGAAACCUUUAGAUAGUCCAUCACCCCUACACUCAGAGAUAACCAUUUGUUCCACUGGAUUUAGUAUUCCUUAGACCAAGUGACGGUAAAACAAAAGGUUGAGAACUGUGUUGGGAUAUUUGGCUCUAUCAAAUUGUAGCAUAUCAUGACAUCCAGAUUAAGUUACUCAACCGUACAGUGUCAGCCAGUGGCCAACAUGGUGCACAGUGGGACGCCGCUGUUCCUAACUCCCUAGGCAGACCUAGGUGGUUGCCUAGGACACCAAAAUUUUGGGUCACAGGUGUGAGCACCGCUGACCCCUGCAGUGAAUAGCUAUGGUGGCUCCCAGCGGCAGCUGAGGCAGGGGAUAGUGGUGAAGAAGCAGAUUAUACCUUUUAAAUUUUGCAAAAUGUUCUGCCACUGCUGCCCAGCUCCAUGUAGAGUCUACCACACCAUAUGCUCCACUUCUGCUGCUCAGCUGGCUGAUGCCUAUGUGCACUAGCCACUUGAGGGGCCUGCCCAGUAAAAAAACCUGUCCUCAACUGAUACCCCACCAUGGCCAACCCCAAAACCAGAUGUGUCACAGUCUGCCUAUUAGUGCAGCUGACACACGCAGACAUGCACCCACGCCACUGCCAUGGCCCAGUUGGAGUUGCCAAAAGAGCUUAUCUUGGGGCUGCAAACAGCACCUCUCUAUAUGAUUUGGAACUGUGGGACCACAGCUUCCAUUUGGGCACACCUGAGCUCACAGGACCAUGAACUCUGCACAUGCCUAUAUUUGGCAAACUAUGCAAGUUGGUCGCUUAGCACAAGCAAAGCAUGGAGCAAUGCAGCCCUAGGUCACCAUAACAAAGGACUGAAGAGAAUCAUCCCCAAAAACCUCUCUUUGGCUGACCUUCAAAGAGAAGGAAAAGCUGGCAAAGUAGACCUCAGGCUAAAAACAUACUCUCAGAGGGAAUAGCUAACUCCCUCCUGGCAAAGCCAACUCUCCUCCGCAGUAACUCAGAUAAGCGUGGAACAUCACCACCCCACUGUCAACAACCUAAUGAGCUGGCGAGGACUAAGGAACCAAGUCCUUAAGGUUUAAGAAAAUCUUAUCUCUCCACCUGGAAAGACAUCUUGUGCCCUGAUGAUGGAUGAUUGUCAGGUGCCAUGACUCAUGUGUUAGGUUGUCAGCUGGGGCCCAGCAUGAAUCUGACGCCAUGGUGUUAUCCCGAUAUAGGCAGGCAAGCAGCAGUUCUUGGGAUAUAUGCUGGAGAAAAAGAGAGGAAAGAAGAGUUAUUCUCAUGGUAAGAGUCUAGAAGCUUUGUUUUGCGUCACACCAUUGGUCCAUCUAUAGUAUUGUCAACAGUACACACUGACUCUUCAGACAGCUAAGCUCAGAGAUGAGCUGACCAUGCCAUGACUGCUCUAUCCUCCUGUCUUUCUGUGGCAGGCAGGAUGGAAGAAAGGAAGGUUUGAUUUUGUGGUUUUCUCAGCACGGGGUAUAAUAUGCUGUGCUAUGGCUGCUGUAACUAACCGGUUUUUCUGGGUUUCAGAUUGACAAAGGCAGAACUUGAGUGCCUGCCUUCCUUCUAGUUGUGGUUUGUUUUGUUUGUGAGAUAGUGGUGUGUGUGUGUGUGUAAGUGUAAUAUUUAUUGGUGAUUGCUGUAAUGAGCUCCAUGUCUGGCCUUGAGACUAAAUUGUGCUUCACUCACUGCUCUGGUCUGCUCUGCAAUCUGCAUUGCAAAGUGUACUCAGUCAAAACUUCAGUGGCUGAAGUUGCUCUAAUUGAGCGUUAUGCUUGCUGCUAACAGUGCUCCUGUGGCAGCUGUUGCAAUGCUAGUAAGUAACAUAAGGAGUUAUAAUUGUGUGUGAGAGAGCAACAUGUGCCAUUGAUCUUACUGCAGAGCAAGCACUGUGGCUGGCAGUGAAUUCUGGGUCAGUGAUUAUUUUUUCGCCAUUUCUGGACUGUGUUUGCAUUCUGUGUUGGGAGGGACAGAUUCCUUUUUACUGUGUGCUUCUGCAGUGUUUCUCAAGGCAGGGCUGCAAAAUGGAAAAUGGAAUGUUCGCGAUGGAACGAUUUGCAAUGCAGAAUUUGUGUGCAGUGCACUCUGUGGCUUGUUCUGGCCAUAGGGAACAAUGAGGAAAAUCAAAACAUCCCAUUGUUUCCCAAUUCUAGCUCCGAGGGACACCAAAGUGGAUUGUGUGGUAGGGCAUGAUGGGUGCU